ensembl:lncRNA
AGUCCUUACAGUUGGAUGCUGCCAGUGAACGUUCAUUAAGAAAACAUGGCUAAAAUCACAGAAACCUCUGGAGAGUUAGAGAUUGCCGAAGACAAUGCUAUAAUGAAAGCAGAUUUCAUUCAGGAGCUUCUUCCAUCUGCGGAGCGAACGGCUCUCCUUUAUCACCUGACUUUCCUGAGUCUGGGAGGAUUCCCAAAGCUGGAGCGUCUGAUCAGAGAUCAAGCUAUUGAAACACAACUGCUGUUCGGAUCCUCUGAAGCCCUUCUGCUGAGGUGUGUCGGCACAAGUUCCAACCUGGUCACCUCCCUGUUUCCAAUGUUGAAAACGGCUGUGGUGAAGAACAAACCCGAUUUGGCGAAGAAGUACCUGAAGAAAGCUGAAGACUGGAUCACUGACAUCAUAACACAAGUGGAUGACAUUGUGAAGAGGUAUGAUAAACACAACCAAAGUGUGAAAACAUGCACCAGUGAUGUGUAUCAAGAACAAGCAGAGACCAAAGAAGAAAAAGAUAAAAAAUCUGAUGAGAUGAAGGGUCUGGAGGUUGCUGUCGCCAAGCUCCAACUGGAUCUGAAAAAAGUAGUCGACAAAGUGGAGAUGAAUGAGAAACAAAUUAAAAACAACACUGAGGAGCUGAAUAGCUUCAUCAGUAGAUUUCAGGAAGAACAUGGCCACUGGACUGUGAAGUUCCUUGACGCUUUUAGAGGCUAUCCAGACGCUAUGAAGGAGCCUACUGCCAUUGAUCUGGAUAGAAAACUGAAACAACUCGACUCUGAGAAGAGCCUUCUGAAAAAUGAAGAGUGGAACAUCAAAACCAAGCAGCUUGAUCUUCAGCUGCAGCUGGCCAACUGUAAAAUACGGAUGGGUGAGAUUCCCAACCCUGACAACCUGAAGGAAGUCCAGCUGUGUCUUUCUCAAAUCCAACAAAUUCUCAUUGAUCUGAAAAAGUUUUGGGAGAAGGUGGAUGCUAUUCUGAGCACGCUGAGAGAUAGAACCUUUGCUGGGGAAGAAAUGGUUGACAUGGAGGACAUGAAGGAUGAGUUCAUAAGCUCUAUUGAAGAUGCAGCAAAGUACUGGAAGAAAUUUGGUGUGUGCUGUCAGAAAGCUCAAGGCGUCUUCAGUGUUCAGUCUAGAGAUGCAUAUAAAUUCCUGGAGAUGAAUCCGUCUUCGCUCUCUGAGGAGGAGAGGAAAAAGCAGUACUUGUCUAUCACUGAGUAA